rnacentral:rRNA from 1 species
UACGGGGGGGGCAAGCGUUGUUCGGAAUUACUGGGCGUAAAGGGCUCGUAGGCGGCCAACUAAGUCGGAUGUGAAAUCCCCAGGCUCAACCUGGGAACUGCAUCCGAUACUGGAUGGCUUGAAUCCGGGAGAGGGAUGCAGAAUUCCAGGUGUAGCGGUGAAAUGCGUAGAGAUGUGGAGGAACACCGAUGGCGAAGGCAGCCCCCUGGGUCAAGAUUGACGCUCAUGCACGAAAGCGUGGGGAGCAAACAGG